GGCAGGCGUCACUUGCUGCAACCGAGGAAGUUGACCCCUGAAGGAUGCCAUAAACCUGUGCAAAACCUGCAGUUGCCCACGGAAUAACCUGUUACUCCUGGCCGUACCUGAGGACUUGGAGAGCCUCACACAUCUUGUGACAAGCUGGGGGCCCUUGAUCCCAGUAAGUUCGGCGAAGAAGUAUCUGAUGUCUUUCUCACCGUCGAAGCAGGCGCUGAAAUUUGAGUGAAAACACAGCCACCUGUCGUUAUCCGGAGACAACCACUUCUGCUCGAACACAUGACUGUCGAUGCCUCUCACUUCCGAGAGCCGCACACCCUGCAUCACGGUACACGCAUACAUGUAUUAUGCGUGUCUUGGUUAAGCUUCUAAACAUGAAACAAAAA